GGUUGAGGAUGAGAGAGGGGGAUGGGUUCAGGGAGGGACACUCAAGUGCUUUUAGUGACCUUGGUGACAUUCUGGUUUUCAGGUCAGGUAGGUUCAUGAUGUUCAUUUAUUAUUUUUUGUCUCAUGUUAUCAUAUGCAUUAUUUUGUAUCUACUAAAUGUUACCAAUUUUUUUCAAAUUUAAAGAUAGGUUAAAAAAAACAAGCAACAGACAGAGCAAGGACGUUGCCAGAAUUCAUGAUGACAGGGCUUUUCUUUUAAACUCUAGUGUUUCUAGAGGAAAAUGGAAUCUUGGGAAGGCUUUGGGAGACUAUGGAAUAUCCACAUGUCCUCUCAGCUGGAACUGAUGCCAAGAAUGUAGAAAAGACGGCUGAUCUUAGUGUGUCUAGAGGGCAGCGUGGGUGGAUGCACGUGGAAAUGCUAUUCAGUCUCCCAACAAGCCUUCACUAAGAAUGGUGAGUGCCCUGGGGACGCCAAGGGCGGAGGGACAGAGCUCUGCACUCAAGGGGCUCGUAGGGUGGAGAGGACACUGCUUCGCUAGGGAAAUAUCCAACAGAGCCAGAGAUGAUCUUUUUGGAACACAGGCUGAUGAUGUCGUGACCUUUGCUUACCCCUCAGGGCUUUCUCUCGGCCCUGGGAUCAAGCUCCCUUCUCUGGUCCUGGUCCCCUUUGGUCUCGGGCAGCUUGGCCACUGUCCCUCCAUUCCUCAUGUGACUCUCAUCCGGAAAUCCUUUGGUUCCCGGAACCUACCAGAGCUCUCCUCUCAGUGGGCUUUUUCACACUUGGUCUGGAAUGUCUCCCACCACGUGCUGAGUCCUACUUAUUGACUUAGGCUCCUUUGCAAAGGAGCACUCCGGGGACCCUGGGCUGCACUAACUUCUGGCUGUACGCGUCUGUGGCAUCCUGUACCCCCAUCAGCUCUAGGGUGACAGUUUCCAUCCUGUCCCCCAUGAGAUCCCCAGCAGGCCCUGGAGCAUGGCAGAGGCCUGACCGGUGUUUGCUGGAUUAACUGCAGGUAUGUCUUUUUUUUUUUUUAAAUAAAUUUAUUUAUUUUUGGCUACACUGGGUCUUCGUUGCUGCACGUGGGCUUUCUCUAUUUGCGGCGAGUGGGGGCUACUCUUUGUUGUGGUGCACGUGCUCUCACUGUGGUGGCUUCUCUUUUUGUGGAGCAUGGGCUCUAGGGUCGUGAGCUUCAGUAGUUGCAGCAUGCGGGCUCAGUAGCUGUGGCACACGGGCUCAGUAGUUAUGGCUUGCAGCUCUAGAGCGCAGCCUCGGUAGUUGUGGCACACAGGCUUAGUUGCUCCACGGCAUGUAGGAUCUUCCCAGACCAGGGCUCGAACCCAUGUUCCCUGCACUGGCAGGCAGAUUCUUAACCACUGCGCCACCAGGGAAGUCCCACAGGUAUGUCUUAAGAGUUUCAUGCAGUUACGGAGGAGGGAGCGAUAACUUGUACUUGGAGGGAAGAGGUGGAGGGCUUCCCGGAGGAGGUGGUGUGGGAUAUGAGGACAUGUCCGUUACUUGCAUCAGCUUCCACUUACCAGCCUGUUUUGCCCAAAUUGCAUGUUUUCCUCAAUGGGUGGGCUGUGUGUCCCUGUGGUUGCCCCAAUUUCUUUGUCCGUUCAUCCAUUAAUGGACACUUAAUUGGUUGCACCAAUUUACAGUCCCACCAGCAAUUCACAAGGGUUCCUUUUCUCCACAUCUUCACCGACACUGAUUUCUUGUCUUUUUUGUAUUAGCCAUUCUGAUAGGUGGGAGGGACUGUCCCUUUGUGAUUUGGAUUUGGAUUUUCCUAAUGAUUAGGGAUCUUGGGCAUAUUUUCAUGUACCUGUUGGCCAUCUGUAAGGAGGGCUAUUCUUAUUAAAGCAUCAGCACUGUACCAAAUGCCCACUACAGUCAGACCUUGGGGAAAUUCAUAACCCCCUCUCACUAAUUUCUCCAGAAUCUUCUACUGUGUUCUAGGUGUACUGUUUCUGUGUCACUCAUCCUCUUCCUAGUGUCACAUGGGCGAGUGAAAUUUGGGGUGAAUGCAUGUGAAAAGACACAAGGAUGGUGGCUCCUAUGACUGAGCUUCUUGAGGAGAGAAGGGGAGAGUUUUCUCCUCUUACACCUCUGUCUCAACAUUACUUACAUCCUUUUACUCUUUAUCCCUCUUAGCUUUCUUUUAACCACCAGUGCCUUGUCUAACCUAAUUUUGAAAUUUCUCCCUUAUGCCCAGACCCUAUAAAGAUAAAACCCCCCCGAAAAGUGAGCAAUUUGGAUUUGGUGGAGAAGUCAAAAGUGAAAUCCUCAACCACAGUGUUCCUAAAGCCCCCUUCCCAGCUGGGAGACAGACCCAGGGGCUUGGGAACAGGGGUGGGAGUGACAGCGGAUGGGGGAAAGGGUGGAGACACCCUCACCACGAACCUGUAAGUUCCAUUCCGGUGUCUCUUAAGGGGUCGAGCCACUGGGCUGGCAGGCCACGGAGGUACAAGGUCAAGUGACUUGACUUAAUCCUACAUCUGUCAAAUGGGAAAGAUAAUACUUACUUGCAGGGUUCCCUUUGCUCUGGGUCAGUAGACUGAAUUCCACUUUUAUGUCUGUUCCUUUCCAGCUUAGGGCCUGUAGGGAGUUCAACCCCCCUGAACUUGAGUUUCCUCACUGUCAAAUGACCACGUGCAAGGUGAUUUACCUGAGUUGUCCGUCAGAGUAACACGGAGACUGAGGCAUGGUUAAUCACUUGUUAAAUAGUUGAGUUUUUAUUUUGGAGAAACACCGACUGCACAGAGCAUAUAUGAGAAAGGUUUGCAUUGCAUGAAUUAUUUUCCCAUUUGAAACCCAGAAUCUCGCUCAAAUGGCUUCCCAGCCCACAUUGUACUGAAGUACCCUGUUUGUUCCAUUAACUAUUCACAGAGUCAACUGGGGAACCGCUGUUAUUAAUUUCAAUGGAAAGCUAAAAUGCAGUUCAUUUUCUAUAAUUGCAGGUCCACGGUCUAAAGAGGCAGCAAAAGCUUUUAAUCUGAGGCAUUUUUAGAGGAGUAUGAUCAGAAUUACAUUGAACAUCUUUUGAAGGUACAUAAUUAUGAAAACCUCAAUGACACUGACAUUCAAAGAGCCCAAACCAUAGAUGCAGGGAACUCACAUGCGGGGAACAAGGCAAAUUGCCGUCUUAGUUACUCGUGAUGGAGAAACGCCCACGGGGAAGGUCGGCGGUGUUUGCCCACCUUGCUUUUCUAUUUUACUCCAAAGACGUGAGCUCUUCAUACCGCAUGGGAGGGGGAUAUGGCGCUCUCGUCCGAAAUGUAAGAUUUCUGUAGCCCCAGAGAGCCUGCCCCCGGGGCUGCAGCCUCCCUCGCACCCCUUCCGCGGGGCGGGGCUCGGGCCCGAGGCGCGCGAGGGCGGGAGGGUGCUCGCGCGGCCACCAGAGGGCGCCAGAGCGUCUCUGCGGGUGCCGGUCCCUCCACGGCUUCCUGCGUCCAGACUGCUCCUGGGUCGCAGGUGUCUGGGCAGGGCUGUCAUCCGUUGGUCGCGACUCCAUGAGGGCAGAGCUCCCCCUCCACUUCCCCGAAGGAGGAGGGACACUAAGAAGGCAGGGAAGUGCCCGCAGCAGCCACCUCGCCACCACGACUCCCAUGGGGGCCUGGAGGUGGGGAGAAGCCGCGUGCGGGAGAGACGUCGGCUUUCGUUCAAAAGUGAAGUGCAGGGCUUCCCUGGUGGCGCAGUGGUUGAGAGUCCGCCUGCCGAUGCAGGGGACGGGGGUUCGCGCCCCGGUCCGGGAAGAUCCCACAUGCCGCCAUGGCCGCUGAGCCUGCGCGUCCGGAGCCUGUGCUCCGCAACGGGAGAGGCCAUAACAGUGAGAGGCCCGCGUACCGCAAAAAAAAAAACCUGAAGUGCGAUUUACAAACACACCCUCCAGGCGAGCUGCGCAGCAAGGGGGCCGCAGAGAUAACGAGGCGGGGCCCCCACGCCCACUCAGCCCUCCCUCCGGAUGGGGUGACGCACGUGCCGUGGGCGCCCAGCCCCGCGAAUCGUCCGCUCCGCCCAGCGCGGUCGGGAGGGGUCACUGAGCCCUGAACCGGCUGCGGCCCAGGGUGGAGAGAGGCAGCGGGACCAGCAGGGACAAACGCGGGAGGGGCAGGGACGAGUCCCAGGCGGAGCUUGGGUUGCUGGGCGUCAAGCCCCACAGCGGCUCGGGGCCCCCAGGUCCCCGGUAACCUAAGUCAGGCUGGGGAAGCUGGACUUUAUUCAGUGGCCUGAGGAACCAGCAGCGGUGUUCGAGCUGGGGGGCGAUUGACCAGGUCCGGCCUGGCCGUCACCAUGGCUGGCUGGGUAGGAGGGGGCAGUUUGCCACCGUGCAGGAGGUGGGAGGAGACACUCACCCCCAGCGGGUGCUUAGUGGAAAAUGUUUUGCAGGUUGCGAUGCUGCGUUUCUGCAGUUCUCCAGAUCUUACUGAAUUUCAGUGUCAAGUUCUUAACGCGCGCAUCUCGGAGUUCUGAAGUACACUUGAGGCUUUCUGCCAAGACAUGUAACAUCAGCCCCAGGAGGAAGAGCGGAGAAGAGGCCUCCAAGGGCGUUCUCCUGUUCAGAAAUUAAAACGGAAGAGUUUGAAAGCAAAGAGCUCAGAUACAGGGGGUGGGCUGAACUCAGCUGGUUUGACACUAUGAACCAAGAACGCCAAUCUUUUUCAAAGUCAAGGGUAAGCGUAAAUCAGAACAUAGAUUUAGCAUAGUUUGCAACCUUGCAGCGUUCCUACUCGGUAGAGCUUUUAACUCCUGGCCUCCCCGAGGUCCGGCAGAAUACGAUAAUGUUUUAACAUUUCUUCUGACUUGGCUCCUUACCCUGCGAAUGUCCCACAGUGCCCGGCUGUCCUCAUCCUCACGUGUGUUGAAUGAAUGGUGACCACCCCGAAGCCCUCCUCGUGGGGAAGGCGGAUGUAAAGGGGUGGAGAGCAAUUUUUCCUCCUGGUUUCAAGAUGCUAAUACAGUGCACUGAGGUAGAGUCUGUAGCAGGUGGUGGGCAGGGACCGUGGGGCUUCUGGACUCUGGUGCGUAGUUUUCCAUUUGCCACUUUUGUGCAAGUAAGUAAGCCACUGAACCUCAGUUUUCUUCACUUAUCAAAUGGGAAUAAUCUAUACUGAACAGACCUCCUAAGGUUAUUAUGAGAAUCGAAAGGAAAAUUUGUAGUGGAUGCACACAGCGUGAGGGUAAAGCUAUUGAUUGUAUGGAAUGUUGUGGACGGAUGUGCGGAGUUAUGAUGUUAGUCAUGGGUCAGUUGCCCUUGAACAUGUUGAAAGACAGAAACUAGCGAAUUUGCCUAGAAAUGAUGCCCAAAUAGGUAAGCAAAAAUAAAUUAAUCACACUCUUGUGUUUCUCGUACGGGUUCAUUGUACUGAUUUCAAACCACAGGGGUCUGGCCAACGACAGCUUUUUUUCUCACCUCCAAACUUUUCUGUUGGUUGGUUUCUGCUGUUGUGCUAUUUUUAUUACGGAAAAUUUCAAACAACCCCUUACUCCCUUCUGUUGUUCCCAUUUCUCCCUCUUUGUUUGCUGGAGGAUCCCAGACGUUGUCCUUUCAUCCACGAAUGCUUGCAUGUCUGCCAAACAUCUUGCAAGAGCAGCUCUCUCGGCGGCCUCCAUCCACUCCCUCACCUUCGGCACCGCUCUGCCCAGCCCCACCCCGCCAUGGAGCCUGUUUUCUUAAGAAUCACCGAGGACGUCAUCCAGAGACCAUUUCACAAUCUCAUCCUCAGCUUCCGACACUGUUGAAUGGAGACCGCUGAGCCAGGCACUGUCAGAAUGUAAGCUCAGGAGGUAGCUUCGUCUUGGUAACUGAUGGAUUCUGAGUAAAUACCUGGCACACAGUAGAUGCUCAAUAUUUGCUGGGUGAAGACGAAUCAGUAAGUGUUUUGCCCGUUGUACCUGCCUAAGUCAUUUAGAUGUUAAAAGUAACAAAUGAAGAGACUCCCCCUCCCCCUGCCCCAAUUUCCACACUGUAGCUGUGAAGAGGGACAGGGACAACCUCUACUGAAAAAGCAAUCACUUACACUUAGAAAUGAAGUAGUGAGGUCCCUGUCAUGGGAGCAUUCAAGCAGGAGUUGGAUGACCAUUUUAUAGAAGUGGUUCCCAUACCAGGAACAUGGAUAAGGACCUUCCAAUUCUAAGGUUCUAUGAUUUGGGGUCAGUGAGGGGAAAGACUUUAGUAUAUAGGGUGUGGGGACGUGGUUGACACAAGGACAUCAUAGCCUUUGGAACGGCUAUGGAUGAGAGAGAAACCGCGGGUAACCGUUAGUUAGAUGCAUUUCACCUGUAACCUGCCUUCACCAAUCAAGGUCGUUUGAAUUGUUACGAAGGACCGGCGUGUCCUCCAUGCGGCACGGAGCCUAAACAAGAUGUUUUCUAGGAUCUUGGAGUCAGCUGUGUCUAAUUCACGUGGAGCCUGUUAAGACUGGAUAGGACCGCCGACCCUCCAAGGGGGCGUGCGUGAGGGUUACAGGCUCCGAGGCUGUUGGAAGUGAGGUCCCAAAGCCCCGCCCUGAGCUCGUGCCCCGGGCCUCCGGCUUGGAGCGCCGAGGCCCGCAGCCUAGUUACGCCUGCGCAGAACGCGACGACGCACCUUCUCCCAAUCCCCUUUCCCCGCCCCCCACGCCCCCCGCGCCUGCGUCUUCGUCCCUCAUCCCUUAAGUAACCCCGCCCCUCGCCUUCCCGUGAGCGGUUUCUGCGUUUGGCUGGCUUGCGGGUAAACCGUGUGUUUGCUGCAGACGUUGGCGUCCCACAUGUUGUGGCUCCUGACGCGGCGGGCAAAUGGACCUGGUUCCUUCCGUAACAAGGGAGUGAGCAAAGCUCUACAAGAACAGAAAUCUCAGUGUCAGGACUGCCUGGUUGGUGCAGUUGAGGAAACCAGUGCUGCCGUCCCAGAGAAAUGCAAGGUUGGCCUUGGCGUUGUGAGGGAGAGAGCAAAGGAAAGAAUAAAAGAGGAAGAACUGAUUCGAAACCUGAUUAAAAUCCACUGCGACUUUACAAAUAAAUUCCAUGGUGGCUAUUUUGGAAGUAAUCAUCAGUGAAACUAUGCACAGCUUAGUUUCUGUUUGCUGUAAGUUUGAGUCAAAAAUAGGACAUCAGCUUAAAUAAUCCCGGAAAGAAUGAUUCUAGAGAUCCUGUAUAAGAUUGUAUUUAUAUAAAUAUUGCACACACACCUGUGUUAAUUAUCGUAUUAGAGGUUUGUGACUAUCAGUUUAAAUUUAGAGGCCCAUUAUCUAUAUCCAUAUAUAUUUUAAACGUAGAUGUACAUCUAUUUUUAAAAGUUAUUUUAUCUUUGCUUUUAAAGUACAGGCCUCAUUUAUUUGAAGGUGACUCUUGGUCAUGACCACAACUCCCAAUUGCAUUAUUACUCCUAUGGGAAAUUAUGAUGGCCUGCUUUCAAGGAAUUGUGGUAGAAAGUGGGGACCUCCCCCAUGAUUACAGUCAGUAAUGUUAAGAAAUCACUAUUUUCAGUUCUUUCCCCAAGUAUUAUUGAGAUAAAUUGACAUAUAUCACUGUAUUAUUUUUAGUUUUUAAACUGGAGAAUAAGUGUUAAUUUUUAUGUCCAUCUAAAAAACAUUUGCUUAUUCAAGCAUUUUAUUCAACUAAAUUUCAAACAAGUUUCUCAAAAUAACUGAAAGAAAAACAAUACGUGGCCAGAUUCCCAAAGCACAGAGUCUGGGUACUUGAUCUAAGGGGUAAAUACAAAGUAGAAUCCUGAUGUUGAAAAUUCUCACACUUCACAUCAUUUGAUUGCACGGUGUGAAGUGGCGAGACGCUCCAUCUGUGACUUUACUUCAAUGUACAUGUACAGAAUUAGUUUCAUUACUGCUUACUACCUCAUAACCACCAAAUACUCUAAUUAGUAUUUCAACUUUCACUGGAAAACCCCUGCGUAUGCAAAACCUAUUAUUAAUAGAAACAAAUCCUUGAUCAUUCUAGAUUUUUUGAAAGACAAAAUUCUGUGCAUGUGAUGGAAGUGGGCAUUUAGGACUUAAAUGAUGGACCAACAUUUGGGUUUAGGCUGACUUUAAACAGAUUGCACAUCUAAUAUGUCAGGAAUUCAAACACAGCAAAAAAAAGUUCUGUUAAAUUCAAGAUUUUUAAAAAUGCAAGAUGUUCACAUAACAAUACGCUUAAGUCAUAGUUGAGUAGUACACUCUGAUGCUGGGAGUAUAAAUUGGUAUGAUCUGAUCUUUCUGGAGGGAAGUUUAGCAAAAUGUCUUAAAAUGAAAACAAAACGUGAAAGUCUGUCAAUAGGGGAACAUUGUAAAGAUCAUGAUGGGGUUCUACACUUUCAUGGUAAGAAGUUCACAACAUACUGCUGACAAAGUUGCAAACUCAGAAUUUACAAGAUAAGCAUGUGUGUAAGUAUUGUGUAAAUUUGUAUCUAUCUGUGGACAUACACACUCAAAAGUUUCUAAGGAUGUUCUCCAAACACUUAACACUGAUAUAGCUUGGGGUGUUUAGACUGAAUUUGAUUGUAACUUCUUUUCAGUAUUUUAUCUUCAGUGUGCUCCUUUCUAGACAUGCAAUAUGUGUUAUUUUUAUAAUCCUCAAUAAGACUUAAUUUUUUUUCAAAAAGAAGUUGAGCAACUUGAGUUUUCUAUAGUCUGGGAAAAAUCACAGCACAAAAUAUGCAACUAUUUGCAUUAUAAAAAUCUGAAUAAAAUAUAUUAUGAAAAAUUUUAAAUGUGUUUUCUACCUGUGU